GACGAACGCUGGCGGCGUGCUUAACACAUGCAAGUCGAACGAAAAGAGGGAAAGAACUUGCUCUUUCCGGAAUUGAGUGGCAAACGAGUGAGUAACACGUAAACAACCUGCCUGCAGGAUGUGGACAACAGACGGAAACGACUGCUAAUACCGAAUAAUUUCCAAGAGCCGCAUGGCAGAUGAAAGAAAAGGUGGCCUCUACAUGUAAGCUAUCGGCUGACGAGGGGUUUGCGGCUGAUUAGCUGGUUGGAGGGGUAACUGACCAACAAGGCGACGAAUAGGAGACGGACCGAGAGGAGGAACGGCCACACUGGAACUGAGACACGGUCCAGAAUCCUAAGGGAGGCAGCAGGGGGGAAUCUUACGCCAUGGGCGAAAGCCUGACGGAGAAACGACGGGUGAGGGAUGGCGGCCUUAGGGUUGUAAAACUCUUUGAUCCCGGAAGGAAAGGCAGAGUGAGAAGAACAACCUGCAUUGACGGUACCGGAAAAGAAAGCCACGGCUAACUACGUG
rnacentral:rRNA from 1 species